AUUUCUUUAGUAUUAAUCAGUACAAUUGACUUCCAAUCAAUCAGCUUCGGUAUAACCCGAAAAGAAAUA
rnacentral:tRNA from 1 species